GGCGUAGGGCGCGAGCGUUGUCCGGAUUUAUUGGGCGUAAAGAGCUCGUAGGCGGCUUGUCGCGUCGUCCGUGAAAACCUGGGGCUCAACCCCAGGCUUGCGGUCGAUACGGGCAGGCUAGAGUUCGGUAGGGGAGACUGGAAUUCCUGGUGUAGCGGUGAAAUGCGCAGAUAUCAGGAGGAACACCGGUGGCGAAGGCGGGUCUCUGGGCCGAUACUGACGCUGAGGAGCGAAAGCGUGGGGAGCGAACAGG
rnacentral:rRNA from 1 species